rnacentral:antisense_RNA from 1 species
CCCUCGGCUGCGGGGUAGCGGGCAGCCCUGCGCUGCCGGCCACCUAGCCUGCACCCCCCGCCCCGGGAGGGAAGCCUCGCUCCAGCCGCGUCGUUUCCGCGCCGAAGCGCGAUCCGGGGCCCCGCGCUGGAGUCCCUUGCUCUCAGGCUGGUGGCAGUUGCUGGAGUACCAGGGCACCAAGUGGAGGAUGUGGUAGACAGCCUCUAAGAUGCGCCCCCUGCCAAUGAUCUCUGCCUCCAGGGAGGAGCUAGAAGGCAGAGAGAAAGCCACUCAGGACUUCCCAUCCCAGAAGAUAAAGGUGAGGAAAGCAGCAGCAGCAGCCACAGGCCAGUAUUCCAGAGCAGCUUUGGGUUCCUGUCAAGACCUGCUUUGAGAAGGAGGUGGCUGUGGGGCUGGAGGGCUGGGCCUGUUCCUGAGCUGGCUGCUGGCAGCACAGCAAUGAGGCAACAUUGACAACUGCGACACGAGGCCCAGUCCUGCUACUAAACCAACUGUGUGGACUUGCAUAGUCACUUCACCCCUCGGGCCUUCAUUUCUCCACUUUGGAAAGCAGUGUUGGGACGAUGUUAAGGG